rnacentral:rRNA from 1 species
UACGAAGGGUGCAAGCGUUACUCGGAAUUACUGGGCGUAAAGCGCGCGUAGGUGGUUUGUUAAGUCUGUUGUGAAAGCCCCGGGCUCAACCUGGGAAUGGCAAUGGAUACUGGCAGGCUAGAGUGCGGUAGAGGGUAGUGGAAUUCCCGGUGUAGCGGUGAAAUGCGUAGAGAUGUGGAGGAACACCAGUGGCGAAGGCGACUUUCUGGUCUAUAACUGACACUGAGGCGCGAAAGCGUGGGGAGCAAACAGG